rnacentral:misc_RNA from 1 species
GAUGAAGAACGCAGCGAAAUGCGAUAAGUAAUGUGAAUUGCAGAAUUCAGUGAAUCAUCGAAUCUUUGAACGCACAUUGCGCCCCUUGGUAUUCCGAGGGGCAUGCCUGUCCGAGCGUCAUUGCUGCCCUCAAGCACGGCUUGUGUGUUGGGCCUCCGUCCUCCUCCCGGGGGACGGGCCCGAAAGGCAGCGGCGGCACCGCGUCCGGUCCUCGAGCGUAUGGGGCUUCGUCACCCGCUCUUGUAGGCCCGGCCGGCGCUUGCCGACACAUCAAUCUUUUUUCCAGGUUGACCUCGGAUCAGGUAGGGAUACCCGCUGAACUUAAGCAUAUCAAUAAGCGGAGGA